AAGAUCCUUACUUGGAUUGAUACUAUGUGACUGAUCGUGAUAAGACUUUUGGAGUCUAGAAUUAAAGCAGUACUAUUGGUUCACCACGAGUCUCCUGCUGCUUGUGAAGCAAUCUGCAGCCAGAACUUAUUGUUGUCAGGCAAUGUGUAAUGUGGUGGAGUAGGCCCUGAGACACCUUGCUGGAGGCCUUGCAGCCCUGCCACGCCCUGUCCCAGAAAAGGGCAGUGGAGUAGGUUCUCCAAGAUGCCCAGAAUGACUGACUGGGAUAUAGCCAAAUAAAAGUGACUACAGGGAGCAACCAUUCAGGAACCAGCAGGGUAGUAUAAAAGGAGCUACAAGGCCACUGUGAAUGCAGUUGCUUGAUGGAACUGGUGGACCAUGGACAAUGUACCUAGCUGGCUGAAGACUACAGGACCUCGGACAGAGUAGUGCUGGCAGAUACUGGAUGGAAGCAAGAAGGAGCUCCGGGUUGGCUGCUAGGACUCAAUCACGAUGAGGCUCUGAGUCAUCAUUUUGGCAUCUUCAUCGAUUUCAAGAUCUGACCAGAAAUUUCUCUAUCAUUGGAAGUAUCCUUGAAGUAGACCUGCAUUCCAGCUGCCCACUUCAUAAUCUGUUUAAUCACAGCAUUUCUGGAUUCUCCAAAGUCAUGUUCAUGGAAAAUGGAAAUGACAAGACACAAAUAUGAAGCUAACAUUGAAGAAUAAAGUGGUAAUUGAAGGAAUUACAGAAAGAUCAGCAUUUUAAGCGAACUUUGGAAAAAUGAUUGUGCGAUCAAACCCAGCACUACAACAAGAGCACCCAUUUGGUAACGCUAGUCAUGGACAAAAAAAGCUGAAUCCUGUGGUUUCAGUGACUUAUCGUUGAGACUUGUGGUUGCUGCGUAGGAGGGCUGUACAAGCUGGACACGUUUGACAUCCUUAUUUCUGAGCGGUGAAAUCUGAACAUCUGAGUUAUGAAAAUGACUUUUGCGUUUAUUUUAUUUUAUUUAAUGAACUCAAUACCCUAUUUUCCUUGCAUUCAGUGGAAACAAAAACAGUGCAAAUAUUUUAGAGCCUGCUGUGAACCUGCUUUGACCUCCAAAGAGAAAAGGAGGAAUAUGUCCUUUUCUGUGAUUAACAGUCAAAAUGCUUUACCUGUAGAAGUAAGCUUAAAUAAAAUAUUGUAACCAGUUGAUAGGGAGAGAAGGGGCAAUUUCUCUGAUGUGGAGAUAGAGGAAUUUAGUACCAAUGUUAAGUCAGAUUCUACAAACUCAGAGCCUUCCAAACUAGAGUUUUGACAUUAGAAACUAAAUCAUUCAGUUAUUGAUAUACAUUAUUUAAAUCAAAAUAAGCUACAGUACUAAUACUGUUUAGGAGCCUGCAAUAACUAUGGUCUUUUGGUUGCUCACAGGACACAGGGAAGACUAUGAAGGAGGGUAAGUCCUGAGUGAUUGGAAUCAAUUUUGAGACCAGACAAGCAGAGUCAGAGGCAGUCUCAUAUUCCUUGAUUCAAUACUGAGCCACAUCAUUAUGUUUUUAAUCUUUGAUUUUGUAGUAGAUGUAUGACAGCGACAUAGAACCAUGUAAAUAUCUGCUGUUCUUUUAGAGAGCUAAAUCCAGGUGUUGAUGCCAAAAAGGGAUUAUCUUGGGAUGGGGAAGUCUCACUAGUCUUCCUAUGCUGUGGAGCAGAAGAGAAGUCACUCCUGAACCUCUCUUCUGCUAGUAAUAGAUCCACUGGCUUCAGCCUGUCUCUUCACCCCAACCAUUCCUCCUCUUGCUACUGUGUAGAUAGGUACCCUGAGAGCUGUGGAAUGCAGAGCAUUUCGGCCUCUGUAUUCAGCAAAUCCUGUUUUCCCUCAUCCUAUGUAGCAGAACUCCAUCAACUGUACCACACCUGGGGCCUUCUGGAGGGAUGGGAUCAGUGCCCAUGCAGCCAAUACAUCAUUCUCCAAAAUGAAGCAAUGGAAGUGAAUUAAAUCCUAUGCAUCUGAAAGAGGGAAAGAAAAAGACCAUUCAAAGAUUCAAAACAUACCCACAAACUUUCUUGGGUAUAUCUAUACUACAAAUGCUACUACAACAUACUUUAGCUAUGCUGCUAUAGCGUAGGCACUACAGCGGUGGACGGGAAUUUUCCUGUUGUUACUAGUAAAUCUACCAGCCUUUUGAGAAGGCUGAUGAAAGAAUUACUUUGUUGACUUAGCUGCAUCAACUGAGACAACAUUGCACUGUCUGGAAUUUUUCACAGCCCUGAGUGACGUACCAAAGUUGACGUAACUUUUAUGUAUAAAUCAGACUCUGGCAAAAUAAAAAAGGAGCUAGAUACUUCUGUGUAAAACAUCCUUUCACCCCACCUGAAAGCUUUAAAGAUAAU